rnacentral:rRNA from 1 species
AUUGAACGCUGGCGGCAAGCCUAACACAUGCAAGUCGAACGAGUGGCGGACGGGUGAGUAAUGUCUGGGACACUGCCUGAUGGGGGGGGAUAACUACUGGAAACGGUAGCUAAUACCGCAUACCAUCGGAUGUGCCCAGAUGGGAUUAGCUAGUAGGUGGGGUAAAGGCUCACCUAGGCGACGAUCCCUAGCUGGUCAGAGAGGAUGACCAGCCACACUGUAACUUAGACACGGGCCAGACUCCUACGGGAGGCAGCAGUGGGGAAUAUUGCACAAUGGGCGCAAGCCUGAUGCAGCCAUGCCGCGUGUAUGAAGAAGGCCUUCGGGUUGUAAAGUACUUUCAGCGGGGAGGCGUUACCCGCAGAAGAAGCACCGGCUAACGCCGUGCCAGCCGCCGCGGUAAUUC